UGAGGGAUCUCAUCUCCUUCGCAAGGAGAUAUAUGUAGAUGGUCAUCCAGAAGACACAAUAAUAACAGACAGGGCUGGCAGAGAAGCGUCAGUCUGUGAAUAAGGGAUCUGAUCUCCUUUGGGAGGAGAUAAGCAGAUACCAAGAAAAGAUAGUUACAGCAACAUGUUGGAAGUUUGCCCUUGCUAUUUUUCGUGUAUGAGAGGAGUAUAAUUAUGGGAGCCAUGUGUAUUAUGAUGUACAAUUCUCCGUUUUACUGUCGUGUUAAAUUAAACGUUGGCAAUGGCUUGCCACUUCGCCUGAAUAAGGAGCCAAAUCGAGGAAAUUGUAAAGCGUCACAAUAUAUAUUCAGUACUCAUUUGUACUCCCAAGGCAUAUAAUUCACAUUUGCCUCGUUUUCAUAGCUACUUACAAGAAGCUUGUUGUGAAGGACUCUUGUUAUUAAUGCUAUCUGCUAUGGUGCUAAGUUUAUGAUUCCUGGAUGGCUCCGGUUUGAGAAUGACAUUGAUGUUGGGGAAGUGGUUGUUCUCAUGACGACCAAGGGGGAGGUGAUUGCCAUUGGUAUCGCUGAGAUCCCAACUGCUGUUAUGGCGACUGAUGACCAUGGCGCGGCAGCGAAGAUCAAGAGGGUGGUCAUGGACAGAGGCACAUACCAGGAAAUGGGAACUUGGUCCGGUGGCAGCGUCCGAAAGAUGAUGAACGAGGGCUCCUUGAUAAGCAUGGGAAACCAACUGAGAAGACCCCAGCUGAGUGAAUAUUCAAUCCCGAGCCUAAGGCUCAUCUGCACCCGGUGAACAGAAUUCAUGGCAAAAAUGACAAAAUCCGGCCUGAACAGUAUGCAAACAGUAAACUUCUCACAGAUCCCAAAUUGUCUUUUUUUGCUGAGAACUACUCAGAUGCCCAAACACAAUGAAAUUUGUCACGUACAUCACGCACUUGAACAUCUCCCACGGGUGAAGAUGCACCUGAGGGCCAAAACACCCUCCUCCUGUGCUUCCUACUGGUGUGCAGGGAUUGUUAGCAUUGCAGCUGCUCCUGAACCCGAUAAGGUAAAAGUGGAACACCAUGAUGUGGUGCCAAGUGAGGAUUUCAAGAAGAAAAAAGAGAAAGACCCAUCAGGAUAUGAUGUAACUGGGGGAGAACAGAAUAGUGAGAAGAAGAAGAAGAAGAAGAAGAAGAAGAAGAAAGGCGGUGACGUUGUUGCUCUAGAGACUACAGAAGUUGAGAAGAGUGUGAAGAAAAAAAACACAGAGGCACAAUAGAUACUCCCUCCGUCCCAUAAUGUAAGACAUAGGAUGGUCAUGUUUUUGGUUGCAAUUCUAUGUAGGCUGCAACGCUGAGCUCGUCCAUGUAGCUAGUGAUGAAACCACAUGUCGCAAAAGGGGCUUGGAACUUGCCCUCAAAGAUUAUGUCCCUCCGAGCUUUCCAGAUCACUUCGACAUGCCCCGCUUCGUUCGAUUGUUCUUCCAAUGAAAAGAGCCAGUUCUUUGCCGCCGGUUGCGUACAAAGCUUGAGGCGUUCGUACAAGUCUUCAUCCAAUAAUAUCUGGCCAUCCUGCCCUCGACGAGUGAAUGCCUCCGCGAGUGUCCCGUGUAGUCGCAAAUGGAGCAUGUCUUCGAUGUGGCCAUGUUCCUCCUGUGAGCAAUGUCCGCUGUGGGUAAACUAUGCCUUGCCAACCGUCAUGCAAAGAUUAUUAGCUUGGACGGUAACUUUUUUGCCAAAUGUGGGUGUCUUGUCCAUUGCCGAUCCCGCGGAUCAGGCCUUGCUUGAGAACCUCACGGCCGUUCAAGAUUGAACGCCAUACUUGGGAUGGUCGUGACCCCAAUUGCGCUGUCCAAAAAUCACCGUUAGGAAAAUAGAGCGCCUUCAGAAUCUGCCCACGUAGGACCUCUUUGAUUCACAGGAUUGUAAAAACACAUGAAUAGAAAAAAGGACCGUGAUAUUUGGCACUUGUGUGGUGGAUAGCAAAACUACCACACUCCUCCUUCCUCCCAUAUAAAUACAUGCAUGCAUGCAUUAGGAUAUAGAUUAGGGUGUGACUAACUUUCUUUCCACGUCCAUCCCUCUCUCUAAUUACAUACAUGCACUAGAGGACAAAAAAGCUGAUGUCAUCCUAGAUUCUCUCAUAUUUCAAAAAUUCAAAAUGUUUUGUAGCUUAAACCAUUGGUUCGAUGCAAAAACCGUUUUCACAUAAAAGAUUCGUCGCGAUGAGAUCUUCAAAACUAGAUCCCAUGUUGGUAUGUUCCGACUAAUCUUUUUUUCGGGUCAAAAGUUACCACGCCUCGGGUACAUUAGUUACCAAGCCUGUGGUAUGCAACUUACCGUGCUAUUUCCACAUAAGUUACAUGNNNNNNNNNNNNNNNNNNNNNNNNNNNNNNNNNNNNNNNNNNNNNNNNNNNNNNNNNNNNNNNNNNNNNNNNNNNNNNNNNNNNNNNNNNNNNNNNNNNNNNNNNNNNNNNNNNNNNNNNNNNNNNNNNNNNNNNNNNNNNNNNNNNNNNNNNNNNNNNNNNNNAAAAGUUACCGCAGGUAUUUGUACUUAACUUAGUAGGUACGUGGUUCAUAUAUUACCGUGCUAUUUUCACAUAAGUUAUCAGGAGAUGUUUCUCAAAAACUUUUUCCCCUCGGUUAAAAGUUUUUGCGGUAUUUGUACAUAAGUUAUAGGGUAUGCGGUUCGUAUUUACCAUAUUAUUUUCACAUUAGUUAUUGGGGUAUGCUCUUUCUCCCGGUCAAAAAAGUUACCGCGGUGUUUCUGGUAAGUUGUCGGGUAUGCGGUUCACAUACUACCGUGCUAUUUUCGCACAAGUUACCUCGGGGAUUGGAGUAUGUUUUUCAACAACUUUGUUUCCCGUUGGUCAAAAUUAUUGCGAUGUUUAUUCGUAAGUUAUCGGACAUGCAGUUCAUAUAUUACCGUGUUAUUUUCACAUAAAUUGUUUUCAACAACUUUUUUCUGCCGGUCUAAAAAGUUACCAUAAUAUUUGUACUAAGUUAUCAUGUAUGUGAUUUGUAUAUUAUCGUGCUAUUUCUACAUAAGUUUCUGAGGUUAUAUUCUUCAACAACUUUUUCUCCUGGUCAAAAAGUUACUGUGGUGUUUCUAUGUAAGUUAUCAAGUAUGUGUUUCGUAUAUUACCGUGUUAUUUUCACAUUAAUUAUCGAGAUAUGUUUUCAACAACUUUUUCCUCGCGGUCAAAAAGUUAAUUACCGAGGUGGUUGUACGUAAGUUAUCGGGUAAACGGGUCGCAUAUUAUCAUACUAUUUUCACAUAAGUUACCGGGGGUAUGUUUUCAACAACUUUUUAUUUCGAUCGGAAAAGUUACCGUAGUGUUUCUACGUAAGUUAUCGGGUAUGUGGUUCGUAUACUAUCAUGCUAUUUUGAUAUGUUUUUCAACAAUUUUCUUCCUUCUUGGUAAAAUUUACCAUUGUCUUUGUACGUAAUUUAUCGUGUAUGCAGUUCAUAUAUUACCGUGCUAUUUUCACAUAAGUUAUUGAUGUAUAUUUUUCAACAACUUUUUUCUCAUGGGUAAAAGUUAUCGAGGUAUUUGUGGAUAAGUUAUCACGCCCAUGGUGCAUAUGUUACCAUGUUAUUUACGCAGUAGUUACCGGGGGUAUAUUUUCAACAACUUGUUUCUUCCGGGCUAAAGGUCCCGCACGUGGGCUACAUAAGUUACCACACCUGUGACAUGUUAGUUAUCGUGAAAUUUUCACUAAAGUUACCAGGGGAAUGUUUUUCAACAAUUUUUCCCCUUUUGUCAAUGUUACCGCGGUGUUUGUAAGUGCUGUCAGAUCUACGGUCCGUAUAUUACCAUGCUAUUUACAUAGAAGUUACUCAGGGUAUGUUUUCAACAACCUUUCCUCUCGGGUCAAAUAUUUUCUCUCUAGUCAAAAAUUACCAUAAUGUUUGUAUGCAAGUUAUCACGUUUACAGUGUGUAUAUUAUCAUGUUAUUUACACAUAAGUUACCGGUUAUUGUUGAAUAAAUUUUUCCACGACUUUCUCAAGUUCCUACUAUAGAAAAAAAAACAAAAUAGUAUUCUUACAUGCAAUAGAAAUUAUUGCCCCAUGACUAAUUUGGUUUGUACAAGAAGAAUAUAUACAUCCCCCAUUGAAGAAAAAUACUUGCUCAGGUGGGUUUUUAACUACUUCUCCUCCUUUGUCAAAGUUAUCGUGAUGUUUAUACGUAAGUUAUCAGGUAGUUUUGAUGAACCACGUAUUACUCUCAUGUCUGUAUUGCCAUCCUAGCUCUAAACUAAUCUUCAGGCCACUUAGCAUCUGAAUCAAGGUAAAAGUGUAGAAGACCGGCUCUCGGUUUAUAUGCUCUAGAUACUGAACUCUGCACCGCCCAACACACAAAGUUGCUUCCUUUUCUAAACAAAAAAAAGCACAAAGUUCUUCCAAUUCCAACUGUCAUGGCACCAUCCAACAGUUCUUGCAACAAACAACAAUCUCGUGUUGUAGUACUAUCAGAGCAGAGCAAACUGUAAACUCGAAAAAGAGGCCUGGAAUCACAUGAUUAUAAAAAAGUGGCAACAAAAUCUAUGGAGACUAGCACCGCAAGGUUGCCAGCAGUAGUAAACAACAUCAAAGUUGUACAACUACCCUGCUGUCGGGCUCAUGCGCAUCUGCUCGUAGGAGGCACAUCAAGCUCCGGCCAUGGAUGGGAAUGGAGCCGAAGACGGGGACGUUACCUUGGCCGAUUGGCAACCAACAACGUAGGUGGAGGAGAUGCAGACGGGAGGGAUGGAGCUCCUUUGCUGAGCGGCCGGAAGUGUGGCUGAUGCAUGGUGGCAUCGUCUACCACGACAUCUCUGUGAUGGACGGCCGGUGAGGUUGCAGCAGGAUCCAUCUAUGACAAGAAGCAGGGCCGGGGCCAUCCACAACAAGCAGCGGGGGUAGCGGAUCUCGGCUCCCUUCUCCUUUUGACCGGGAAGCAAGGCAACGACUGACGGCUUUAGGUGGCUGCGGAUCUCGCCAGAAUCCGAAACCCGGAGGCCCUUGCGGCUGGGAAAGGAGGCGGAGGUGCCAGGGGCUAGCCGGCUAGGUGAUGAGUGAAGGCGUGCUGCGCCGGAGCCGGGGGUGUGAGGCGAGCGGCGGGGUCGAGGUUUGAGGCGUGUGGUGGAGGCGCAUUGGCCACUGGGGAAGAAGGUGGGGAAGGGAACGCCUCAUUGGAUUUGGAUCGAACGCCUCCCGAUGCGUGUGGCAGUUUUGCAAUCUGCCACACAGUUGCCAGAUACAUAUUUCGUAGAAAAAAAUAUAGAAAGACUAUAGGAAUGCAGAUAUAAAACAUAGGAUUGAAAAAUAGAGGAAAAGUGGAGGGAUAUGGAAUAAAUGGAACGUUUGAAAUGCAGGAACUUGAAACAAAGGGAUCCAUAAUGUGUAGAGAAACGAUGCAACGUUCCAAACUGGGCUAGACACAAGCCAUGCACCAAACUCACACAUGCUUUGUACUGUACUUGCACGAGCAAAUCAAACCAUGCUACAGUAGCAAAUCCUAUGGAUUGAGAUCUCCUACGUUUUCCUAUGAAAAAUCCUUCAAAUCAAAGGAGGCCUUAGAGAUUUGGGUCCAGCCUUGCUUAGCUAGCAAAGCUAGGUUAAAAAAAAGGGAGCUCCUGUUCGGCGCCCGAACAGGUAGCUCGGCUAACCACUAGAACUACCGAAGACUUGUGACUUGUUGUAACGUUCACUCUGUAAGAACAAGUGUGACCGUGCUAUUUACUAAUAACUCAGAUUUGUUUUAACGUGAAAUUGAAAACGUUCAUCGACUUCGUGACAAAAGUUCAUCAUUUUAGAAGAGAAGGCUCGCAAACUUUAAAAAACUUCACCACUCUUUAAGAAAAGUUCACAAACUUAAAGAAAGUUCAUCGAUUCUGAAAAAAGUUUAUGCAAAAGUGAAAAAGUUCAUCAAUUUUGAAAAAGAAAUCAUCAAUAUUGAAAAAGGUUCAUCGAGUUUGACAAAAAAGUUCAUCAAUUUUGAAAAUUAGUACACCGAUUUUGAAAAAGUUCACAAAUUUGAAGAAAAAAAGCAUCAAUUUUGAAAAAAAGUUCAUCGGAUUUGAAAAAAAGUUCAUCAGAUUUGAAAAAGGUUCAUUGAAUUUGAAAAAGUUCAUCAAUAUGAAGAGAAUGUUCACGAAUUUGAAAAGAAGUUCAUCGAAUUUGAUAAAAGUUCAUCAGAUUUUUAAAAGUUCAUCUAUUUGGGAAAAAUGUCGACGGAUUUGAAAAGUUCAUCGAACAAAGAGGAAGGAGUUUUUUUCCAGUUCAAACAAAGAAUAAAAAACAAAAGAAAAAAACCAUUUAGAAUAAGAAAAGGAUGAAAAAGAAAAAAAGAAAAAACGAAAUAGAAAAAAGGGAAAAAACUAAGAAGAAUACAUGGAAGAAGCACUACUUGAGCAGCUAACACUGGAUGGUGGAAUAGUUUGUGGAUCGAAUCCCAGUGACCUUGCCCCUUAUUUUUUUUGCUGUACAACGGAAAAAAAGGAAAAGAUGGGCCAAACCCAGCUAAAGCGGCUGCAGGCGUCCGCUAGCAGAAUAAACAAUAAAAAAUGCCAAAAGAAAAGGAGCUUGGCCCAGCUAAAGCGGCUGCAGGCGUCCGUUAGCAGAAUACAGAAAAAAAGGAAAAGAUGGGCCAAACCCAGCUAAAGCGACUGCAGGCGUCCGUUACCAGAAUACACGUUAAAAAUGCCAAAAGAAAAGGAGCUUGGCCCAGCUAAAGCGGCUGCAGGUGUCCGUUAGCAGAAUACACAUUAAAAAAUGCCAAAAAAAGGAAGCUCCUAUUCGGCGCCUGUCGGGGAUAUAGCCCGCGAUAUGACCCUGCCGGAAAUAUGACCCGGCCGGACUUGGCGGUUUACUUGAGACCCGGUUUACACUUGACAGUUCACUGGCGACCGGCCCUGACCAGACGGUUUACAAGCAACCUGCCUGAACAUUAUGACUCACUGGUAACCUGGUGGGUGAGACAGACGGAUGACAAGACCCAAGGCCAAGAAGGCCGGUUAUAUUAAUUGUGGGCAAGAGGAAAGGCGUGAAGAAUAUUUACCUUUACAAGGAGUUAAGACCCGGACUUGUAUCCAGUUUGUAUUAGAAGGUAGACUAGUCCUAAUCCUAAUAGGAGUCCACAUGUAACCCGCCCCUUCAACUUAUAUAAGGAGGGGCAGGGCUCCCAAAAGAGGGGGAAGCAAGAAGAAACAAUUUCUAGGGCUAGACACAAAGAGCCGGUUUACCGUCGACUCUCUCGUGAUGAUAAAGAGACCUAGCCACAAACAGCAUGUAGGGUUGUUACCGGAUGAUGUUUCCCGGGGCCCGAAGUUGUCUAAACCCUUGUCUUGCAUUGUGUCUCUCGAUUCCGCUCAACCCCUAUCAAGAUACCACAUAGAUGCGUUGGCCUGACGACUAAGUCCUCACACUAGGACAUCUGCCGUGUGAGGACAGAUGUUUCCCGGGGCCCGAAGCUGUCUAAACCCUUGUCUUGCAUUGCGUCUCUCGAUUCCGCUCAACCCCUAUCAAGAUACCACAUAGAUGCGUUGGCCUCACGACUAAGUCCUCACACUAGGACAUCUGCCGUGACAAUUUGAUACGUCUCCAAUGUAUCUAUAAUUUAUGAAGCAUUCAUGCUAUUUUAUUAUUUGUUUUGAAUGAUUACAGGCUUUAUUAUACACUUUUAUAUUACUUUUGGGACUAACCUAUUAACCGGAGGCCCAGCCCAUAUUGUUGUUUUAUUGCCUGUUUCAGUAUUUCGAAGAAAAGGAAUAUCAAACGGAGUCCAAACGGAAUGAAACCUUCGGGAGCGUGAUUUUUGGAAAUGAUAUGAUCCGGGAGACUUGGAGUUCAAGCUAGGGAAGGUUCGAGGAAGCCAAGAGAUAGGAGGGCGCGCCCACCCCCCCUUGGGCGCGCCCCCUGUCUCCUAGGCCCCUCGAGGCUCCCCCGGCCGACUUCUUUCGCCUAUAAGUCCAUGUACCCUAAAAACAUCGAAUACGAAGAUAGAUCGGGAGUUCCGCCGCCGCAAGCCUCUGUAGCCACAAAAAACCUCUCAGGAGCCCGUUCCGGCACCCUGCCGGAGGGGGGAUCCCUCACCGGUGGCCAUCUUCAUCAUCCCGGCGCUCUCCAUGACGAGCAGGGAGUAGUUCACCCUCGGGGCUGAGGGUAUGUACCAGUAGCUAUGUGUUUGAUCUCUCUCUCUCUCUCUCUCUCUCGUGUUCUCUUUAUGGCACGAUCUUGAUGUAUCGCGAGCUUUGCUAUUAUAGUUGGAUCUUAUGAUGUUUCUCCCCCUCUACUCUCUUGUGAUGAAUUGAGUUUUCCCUUUGAAGUUAUCUUAUCGGAUUGAGUCUUUAAGGAUUUGAGAACACUUGAUGUAUGUCUUGCCGUGCUUAUCUAUGGUGACAAUGGGAUAUCACGUGAUCCACUUGAUGUAUGUUUUGGUGAUAAACUUGCGGGUUCCUCCCAUGAACCUAUGCAUAGGGGUUGGCACACGUUUUCGUCUUGACUCUCCGGUAGAAACUUUGGGGCACUCUUUGAAGUACUUUUGUGUUGGUUGAAUAGAUGAAUCUGAGAUUGUGUGAUGCAUAUCAUAUAACCAUGCCCACGGAUACUUGAGGUGACAAUGGAGUAUCUAGGUGACAUUAGGGUUUUGGUUGAUUUGUAUCUUAAGGUGUUAUUCUAGUACGAACUCUUGAAUAAAUCGAUCCGAAAGAAUAACUUUGAGGUGGUUUUGUACCCUACCAUAAUCUCUUCGUUUGUUCUCCACUAUUAGUGGCUUUGGAGUGACUCUUUGUUGCAUGUUGAGGGAUUGUUAUAUGAUCUAUCUAUGUUAGUAUUUUUGGUAGUAUUUUUGGAGUUCCAGAAGUAUACGUUUGAUACAGAUUACUAAAGACUGUUCUGUUUUUGACAUAUUCUGUUUUCUAUGUGUUGUUUGCUUAUUUUGAUGAAUCUAUGAGUAGCAUCGAAGGGUAUGAACCAUAGAUAAGUUGGAAUACAGUAGGUUUAACACAAAUAUUAAUUUAAAAUGAGUUCAUUACAGUACCUAAGUGGUGGUUUUAUUUUCUUAUACUAACGGAGCUUACGAGUUUUCUGUUGAGUUUUGUGUUGUGAAGUUUUCAAGUUUUGGGUAAGGGUUCGAUGGACUAUGGAAUAAGGAGUGGCAAGAGCCUAAGCUUGGGGAUGCCCCAGAUGGCAUCCCCUCUUUCGUCUUCGUUCAUCGGUAACUUUACUUGGAGCUAUAUUUUUAUUCACCAUAUGAUAUGUGUUUUGCUUGGAGCAUCAUUUUAUUUUGUUAGUAUUUGCUUUAUGUUAUUUAUAAUAAUGUUUUGCAUCUAUAUUUUCAAUAAAAAUGUCAAGGAUAGCCUUUACCAUGCUUAUUUUGCUAGUAUACAUGUUGCUAUUUGAAAACAGAAAGUCUACCGCUUUUGCAUAAAUUCCCUAGAAAAGUCAGAGAAUGUUAUAGUGUUGAAACUUUUUGCAUAUUGAUCUAUGAUAAAUCUUCUACAGCGUAGUAUUUUUCUCAUAAUUUUUGGAGUUACGGAAGUAUGAUGAAUCUUGCAUUCUUUACAGACUAUACUGUUUUGGCAUAUUGUUGUUAUGUUUGCAUUGUUUGCAUAUGUUUGCUUGUUUAAUGAUUCUAUUUGAGGAUAGGAGUAUUAAAUAUGCAGAGACAUUUAGUAUACAAUGUGGAAUAAUAAUUUUAGUGAUUUGUUACAGUAGAAAAUGAUAAGGUUUUUGCAUUGGUUUAUACUAACCUAUCUCACGAGUUCUUGUUGAGUUUGGUGUGGAUGAAGCUUUUGAUAAAAAGAGAAACCAUGAUAUGAGAGGAAUUAAGGAGACACAAAAGUUCAAGCUUGGGGAUGCCCAAGGCACCCCAAGAUAAUAUUUCAAUAAGUCUCAAGCAUCUAAGCUUGGGGAUGCCCCGUUAGGCAUCCCACCUUUCUUUUUCAACAACUAUCGGUUAGUAUCGGUUGAGCCUAAGUUUUUGCUUCUUCACAUGAGUUGUGCUAUCCUUGCAAUGUCAUUUUAUUUUUCUUUGCUUGCUGUUUGAAUACAAUACCAAGAUCUGAAAUUCUUUAAUGAGAGAGAGUCUUCACAUAGUUACAUAAUUAUUUAGCUACUCAUUGAUCUUCACUUAUAUCUUUUUGGAGUAGUUUGUCAUUUACUCAUGUGCUUCACUUAUAUCCUACGAGUAAAUGGUUGAAUGAGUUGAAUGUCAUAAAUCUUAAAUUAUAUAUGUCUCAUUUUCUUAUCCCAUGGGGAGUAAUGACUUGACAUCUAAGAAGUAGAGGUUGUAAAUUUAUUGAAGGUUAGCAAGCAUUGUAUUGGUCAUUUGAACAAUUCAUGAAAGAAUAUUGAAGGAAGAGAGAUUUCACAUAUAAAUAUACUAUUCGAGACAUCUUUUAUAAUUGUGAGCACUCAUUAAGUAUGACAUGCUAAAGAGUUGAUGUUGGACAAGGAAGACAACGUAAUGGGUUAUGUUUUCUCACAUCUCAGUUAAAGUAUAUUGUCAUGGAUCAUUCAAACAUGUUGAGCUUGCCUUUCCCCCUCAUGCUAGCCAAAAAUCCUUGCACCAAGUAGAGAUACUACUUGUGCUUCCAAAUAUCCUUAAACCCAGUUUUGCCAUGAGAGUCCACCAUACCUACCUAUGGAUUGAGUAAGAUCCUUCAAGUAAGUUGUCAUCGGUGCAAGCAAUAAAAAUUGCUCUCUAAAUAUGUAUGAUCUAUUAGUGUGAAGAAAAUAAGCUUUAUACGAUCUUCUUAUGGAAGCAGUAAAAGCGGCGGACUGCAUAAUAAAGGUCCAUAUACAAGUGGCAAUAUAAAGUGACCUUCUUUUGCAUUAAGAUUUUGUGCAUCCAACCCUAAAAGCGCAUGACAACCUCUGCUUCCCUCUGCGAAGGGCCUAUCUUUUACUUUAUGUCUUUUACUUUAUGCAAGAAUCAAGGUGAUCUUCACCUUUCCUUUUUUUCAUUUUACCCUUUGGCAAGCACCUCGUGUUGGAAAGAUCCUGAUAUAUAUAUAUAUAUAUAUAUAUAUAUAUAUAUAUAUAUAUCCAAUUGGAUGUAACUUAGCAUGAACUAUUAUUGUUAACAUCACCCAAAGGUGAAUACGUUGGGAGGCAACACUAUUGAAAGUGCAUUAUAUUGAUUAGAGGGGGGUGAAUAGGCGAUUUUUAUGAAUUCUUCACCGAGGAAUUUGCUGGUGAGGAAAUUCCUAAAUGAAGAACUACAAGCAGCGGAAUAAGUACUCAAAUGUAAACAUAACAUAACACAAUCAUGGUCAUCAUGAUGGAAUGAAGACAAGCACAAAGUACAGAAAGCGUAAACACAGGAUAACACAGAAAGAAGACGGACAGACUGAAGAAAUUGAACUGAGGAAAUUGAGAAAGUCUCCAGUCAAAGUCUUCAAACAGAUAUGAACAAGCACACAACAAUCAGAAAUGAGGAAAUGAAAGAGUUGAGGAAAUAGAACUAGUAAGCUUGGUGAAGACAAUGAUUUGGUAGACCAGUUCCAACUGCUGUCUCAGUUGUACGUCUGGUUGGAGCGGAUGAGUAUUUAAGCUCGAGGACACACAGUCCCGGACACACAGUCCUCACCGUAUUCUCCUUGAGCUAAGGUCACACAGACCUCGCCCAAUCACUCGUGGUAAGUCUUUAGGUGACUUCCAAACCUUCACAGACUAGGUCACUCGGCGAUCCACAAUUCCUCUUGGAUGCUCUAGACCAUGACGCCUAACCGCCUGGAAGAAGCACAGUCUUCAAAGGUAACAAGCAUCGGAUCCAUGCAGGAUCAAUCUCUUCAGUGAUGCUCAAUCACUUUGGGUUUGUAGGUGUGUUGGGUUUGGGUUUUCCUCACUUGAUGAUUUUCGCUCAAAGUCCUCGGAGGAUGGGAUGCUCUCAAAUGACAAGUGUUGUUGACGAAUUUGAAGACCUAAAAAGAAUUUCAAUUCUCCCAUCAUAGACAUUUGAUAUUCUUCACUCAUCAUAUAGGCAAAUUCAUCACUGCAUCAUUGGUCAGUACAGCCAAAAAUGACAUCAUCAACAUAGAUUUGGCACACAAACAAUUCACCAUCAUAAGAUUUAGCGAAAAGACUUGGGUCGAGUGAACCGGGUUUGAAGCCUUUCUUCAUGAGGAAUUCCUUCAAAGUGUCAUACCACGCCCGAGGGGCCUGCUUGAGGCCAUACAGGGCCUUAUUGAGUCUGAAGACUUUGUCAGGAUGCUUUGGAUCUUCAAAACCUGGGGGUUGAGCAACAUAUACUUCUUCCUCAAGCUUACCAUUGAGGAAUGCAUUUUCACAUCCAAUUGUUGUAAGAUAAUAUCAUGAUGGUUAGCAUAAGCAAGUAAUAUGCGAAUAGCCUCAAGUCUAGCAACAGGUGCAAAAGUUUCAUCAAAGUAAAUUCCUUCAACAUGUGUGUAGCCUUGAGCUACAAGUCGUACCUUAUUCCUCACCACAAGGCCAUUUUCAUCUUGCUUGUUGCGGUUGAUCCACUUUGUGCCAAUAAUAUUGUGCUUGCGAGGAUCUGGACGUUUGACCAGUUCCCAGACGUUGUUGAGCUCGAACUGAUGUAAUUCUUCUUGCAUAGCAUGAAUCCACUCAGGCUCCAAAAAUGCUUCAUCUACCUUAGUGGGCUCUGUAAUAGAGACAAAAGCAAAGUGCCCACAAAAGUUAGAUAAAUGUGAAGAUUUUGAGCAUGUGAGAGGACCUGGUGCUUCAAUGUCAUCGAUGAUCUUCUCGAUUUGCACUUCGUUUGCAAUGCGAGGAUGAGCGGGUUGGCUUCGAGGAAUUUGAUCCGCAUUUUAUUCAGGAGCAUUUUCCUCAGCACCAUUUUCUUCAGGUGCGCCAGCUCGACGUUCAUCGCAUUCUAGAAUGAAUUCUUUAGCAGAUUCUUCAGUGGGAAUGACAUCCUCAGUAGCCUUGAACUUGAUCAGGUGCUGGUUCAUCUAACACAGAAGGUAGGUGCUCUCUUUGCGAGCCAUUAGUUUCAUCGAACCGCACAUCUACAGUUUCAACAACCUUGUGAAGAACGUUGAUGAAGACUUUGUAGGUGUGCGAGUCCUUUCCGUAACCAAGCAUAAAACCCUCAUGUGCUUUCGGUGCAAAUUUAGAAUUGUGAUGAGGAUCUCUAAUCCAACAUUUAGCACCGAAGAUUUUGAAGUAACUCACAUUGGGUUUCUUGUCAGUGAGGAGUUCAUAAUCAGUAUUCUUGAAGAAUUUGUGAACAUAUACUAUGUUGAUGAUGUGGCACCCAGUAUCAAUAGCCUCAAUCCAGAAAUGACUAGGUGUCUUGUAUUCAGCAAACAUAGUGCGAGCCAUCUCAACAAGAGUUCUAUUCUUGUGCUCCACGACGCCAUUCUGCUAAGGAGUAUAAGGGGAAAAUAACUCAUGAGUAAUACCAAGUUCAUCAAGAUAGUCAUCAAGACCGGAAUUCUUGAACUCAGUCCCAUUGUCACUUCUGAUGUGCUUGAUCUUCACACCAAAGUUGGUUGAAGCCCUCGAGGAAAAUCGUUUGAAGACUUCCUGCACCUCAUGUUUGUAAGUGACAAUGUGCACCCAUGUGUAACGAGAAUAAUCAUCAAAAAUAACAAAGCCAUAUAGAGAUGUAUCAUUUGUAACAGCAGAAUAAUGAUUAGGACCGAAGAGAUCCAUGUGAAGCAAUUCAAAUGGUCGAGUGGUAGUCAUGAUAGUCUUUGCUGGAUGCUUGGCCUUUGUCAUCUUUCCAGCUUCACAGGCUCCGCAUAAGUGAUCCUUGAUGAAUUUCACAUUCUCAAUGCCAAUGACAUGCUUCUUCUUCGCAAGCAUGUGCAAAUUCCUCAUGCCAGCAUGACCAAGUCGUCGAUGCCAUAGCCAGCCUUCUGAAGCUUUUGCAAGUAGGCAUACGGCCGAUUGUGGUCAUGUAGAGAAAUCAACAAUGUACAAGUCUCCUCUCCUAAAGCCUUCGAAGACUUUGGAAUUGUCAGCUUCCAUGAUCACACCGCAACGAUAUUUGCCAAAGACAACAACCAUAUCAAGAUCACAAAGCAUUGAGACAGACAUGAGGUUGUAUCCUAAGGACUCGACAAGCAUGACUUUGUCCAUGUGUCGAUCCUUCGAGAUCGCAACCUUACCUAGACCCAAUACCUGACUUUUGCCUUUGUCAGCGAAGAUGAUAUGCUUCAGAUGUGACGGUGAUAAAGGAGCAUCCAUCAAUAGAUUCUUGUCACCCGUCAUGUGAUUCGUACAUCCACUAUCGAGGACCCACUCAUUGGCUUUGGGUUGAUCAUCCUGCAGAUGACUUAGUGCAACUUACGAACUCAUAUUGUUCAUUAGUGAAGAAUAUGACAUCAAUUUCAUCAGAUCAAUUUCAUCAAACAAUAGAACAGAUAAGCAGUAUGAGGACGUGUGAAAUGAGAGUUCAUUUCAUCAUGAUUAGCCUGCAUCAUUUUAGGCACUGUUCAGGUCUCCAGCAAAUUCCUCAGACGUUUUAAGCACGUCUGGAGACCUGACCCUACAUAAGAGAUUAGUUCAUUUUCUUCACCACCCACAUCUGAAGGGGUGGCAAAGAAUUCAUCACUCUACGAGCACCAUAUGAGAAAGGUGGCAUAGAAGUCAGUCUACUUCGUUUCACAUAAGAGGGGUUAGGGUAAGUUUAUGAAUAAGCAGAGAAAUUCUUCGAGGACUUAUAAACAUAAUGAUUAGAAGAAUAAUGCUCAUAUUCAUAGCCCUUAGCUCUACCCUGCGAAAUAGAGGGGUUAGCACGAUGAUGAUCAUGUGAGGACUUUGAUCCUUUUGAAGAAUUUGAUCCACGUGAGGAAUUGGACCCAUAUGAAGAAUUUGGUCCAUAUGAAGAAUUUGAUCAAGAGUUCCUAUUCUUCAUAGGUGGUGUCAUGAGGACAUUCACGUGAAGACUUUCAAGGAAACUUUUGGGAACCCAGAUUUUCUUCAUAGGGGAACCGUUCCUCUAGUUAGUGCCAACAUAUCUAGCAAAUACUUCACCAUUCUAAUUUUUGAACAGUUUAUAGUUGGAGUCAAAUGACUCAUCAGAAGAAUGAGGAGAUUCACAUGUAAAGCCAGAUAAAUUGGAUGGAUCAACUGGAGGUCCCUUUGCAACAACCCAUGAGAUUUUGGGGUACUGCUCAGGCUUCCAAUAUGUUCCAUCAGUAUUGAAUUUCCUCUCAAAGGCAAUACCCUCUUUCCUAGGGUUCCUAUUGAGGAUCUGCUUUUUGAGCACAUCACAAAGAGUCUGAUGCCCUUUGAGGCUUUUGUACAUGCCUGUCAUAUACAAUUCCUUCAGCCCUGCAUCAUCAGUGAUACUAGCAAUGUCCUCAGAUGAGGAAUUAGUGAUAGCAGAAACAGAUGAAGAAUUUGUAGCAUUAGAAGCAUUUGAACAUUCAGGUGAAGAAUUAGCAGUUUCACGUUCAAUGCACUUCAGACAUGGAAGAACAAAUUCUUCCUGAGUAGCGCUGAUUUGUUGAGCAAGUAAUGAAUCACGCUCCUUCUGAAGAUCUUCAUAAUCCACUCUUAGCUUUUCAAGAUCUUGCUUUCUUUGAAGAAAUUCAUAAGAAAGCUUCUCGUGAUCAGAUAAGAGAGUGUUAUGAUGACCUUGAAGGUUGUCAAACUUGUACUGAAGUCUUUGAAGAUUUUCAGUCAAGGUUUUAGUGCGAUCCAUUUCUUCACCCAACAUAUCAUCACUUUUAUCUAGCAUGUUUUGAACCUUUUCAAAAGCCUUUUGUUGUUUCACAGCAAUCUUAGCAUGUUUAGAGUAGCUGGACUUGAGGUUUUCAUCAGAUUCAUCAUCACUAGAUUCAGAGGAGGCGUAUUUAGUUACCUUGGCACCCUUUGCCAUGAAGCAAUAGGUGGGAGCAUAGUCAUCAUUGCCUUCAUCAGCCUUGUUGGUGAAGCCAUUUUCUUCAGAGUUGAAGAUAGACUUCCUGACGAAUGCAGUAGCGAGAGCUAGGCUCGCCACACCAAACUCGGACUCCUCAGAUGCCUCCUCGUCUCAUGUUCCUUGGAUUCAGCCUCAGAGUCCAUUUCCUUGCCAAUUAAUGUCCGAGCCUUCUUGGAGACGCUCUUCUUGUGAGAUGAAGACUUCGAGGAUUUUGAUGAUGAAGACUUUGAAGAUUUCUUCUUCUUCUUAGCGUCAUCAGAACUGUAGUCCUUGUAUUUCUUCUUCUUUGAUCUUAUCCCACUUAGGACAAUCUUGGAUGUAGUGACCAGGUUUCUUGCAUUUGUGGCAAAGCCUCUUCUUGUAGUCACUGGAUGAGGAAUAAUUGCUCCUUGAGGAUUUUCCAAAGUGACCACGUCUUGAGAACUUCUGAAAUUUCUUCACGAGCAGUGCUAGUCCCUGGCUCAGUUCUUCAGGAUCACCAAGGCUGCUAGCAGAGUCCUCAUCUUCAGACUCAGAGACUGUCUUGGCCUUCAGAGCACGUGAUCUGCCAUAGCUCGAACCAUAGAGAUCUCUCUUCUCAGCAAGCCGGAACUCAUGAGUAUUUAGCCUCUCGAGGAUAUCAGCGGGAUCAAGUGACUUGUAAUCAGCAUGUUCUUGAAGCAUCAGUGUCAGACUAUCAAAUGAAGAAUUUAGCAAUCUCAGCAAUUUCUUCACCACCUCAAGGUCGGUGAUGUCAGUGGCGCCAAGCGCUUGAAGCUCAUUUGAGAUGUCAGUGAGGCGAUUGAAGGUUUGCUGAACAUUUUCAUUGUCGAGUCUGUUGAAGCAGUUGAAGAGAUUGCGAAGAAUGUCAACAUGAGAGUCAUGUUGAGUUGAGACUCCUUCAUUCACUUUGGACAGCCUAUCCCAGAUAAGCUUAGCAGUUUCCAAAGCACUCACUCUUCGGUACUGCCCUUUGCUCAGAUGGCCACAUAUGAUAUUCUUCGCUUGAGAAUCGAGCUGCUUGAAUCUCUUCACAUCAGUAGCGUUCAGAGAUGGUGUGACUGAGGGAACACCAUUUUCCACAACAUACCAGAGAUCGUUAUCAAUUGCCUCAAGAUGCAUUCGCAUCUUAUUCUUUCAGUAGGGGUAGUCCGAUCCAUCGAAGGUAGGACACCCAACAGAGACCUUGAUCAUACCUGCGGUCGACAUAACUAAAACUCCAGGCGGUUAAACCAAAAUCACACAGAACAAGGGAGUACCUUGCUCUGAUACCAAUUGAAAGUGCGUUAUAUCGACUAGAGGGGGGGUGAAUAGGUGAUUUUUAUGAAUUUUUCACUGAGGAAUUUGCUGGUGAGGAAAUUCCUAAAUGAAGAACUACAAGCAGUGGAAUAAGUACUCAAAUGUAAACAUAACAGAACACAAGCAUGGUCAUCAUGAUGGAAUGAAGACAAGCACAGAGUACAGAAAGCAUAAACACAGGAUAACACAGAAAGAAGACAAACAUACUAAAGAAAUUGAACUGAGGAAAUUGAGAAAGUCUUCAGUCAAAGUCUUCAAACAGAUAUGAACAAGCACACAACAAUCAGAAAUGAGGAAAUGAAAGAGUUGAGGAAAUAGAACCAGUAAGCUUGGUGAAGACAAUGAUUUGGUAGACCACUUCCAACUGUUGUAUCAGUUGUACAUCUGGUUGGAGCGGCUGAGUAUUUAAACUUGAGGACACACAGUCCCGGACACACAGUCCUCACCGUAUUCUCCUUGAGCUAAGGUCACACAGACCUCGCCCAAUCACUCGUGGUAAGUCUUUAGGUGAAUUCCAAACCUUCACAGACUAGGUCACUCAGCGAUCCACAAUUCCUCUUGGAUGCUCUAGACCAUGACGCCUAACCGUCUGGAAGAAGCACAAUCUUCAAAGGUAACAAGCUUCGGAUCCACGCAAGAUCAAUCUCUUCAGUGAUGCUCAAUCACUUUGGGUUUGUAGGUGUGUUGGGUUUGGGUUUUCCUCACUUGAUGAUUUUCGCUCAAAGUCCUCGGAGGAUGGGAUGCUCUCAAAUGACAAGUGCCAGUUUCUCUUGGAGCAGCCAACCAGCUAGUGGUUGUAGGGGGGCAGCUAUUUAUAGCCUAGGGAGCAGCCCGACAUGAUAAGACAUAAAUGCCCUUCAAUGAUAUGACCGUUAGGUGGGUAGAUAUUUUGGGACAGCUGGCGCAUAGCACAACAACGGUCGGAAAUUUGACUCUCAAAUUCCUCAGGGCUAUCAUGUUCCUCACUGUGUAGGCAAUCCGCACUGGCGAAUUCCUAACUCCUCAGUCAGAACAAAUUUCUCAGAGACCAGAAGAACUUUGUCUCUGUCACUGAAGAAUAUGACUGAACUGUAUGAGAUUUCCAAUGGCUUCACUCAAAGGGAUUGGUAGGUGUAGGAUUUUGAGUUGAGCAUCACUUGGAAAUUUUUCCUUAGUAUUUCCUCGACCCCCUUUAAUAGUACGGUGUUGCCUAUGACUCAAGAAAGAGAAAAUGAAACUACGAAAACAAAAGUCUUCACGCUUCAUGUUCCUCGAAUGAUUACCAAGUCUUCAAGGUCACACCAAUUUCUUCACUUUCAAAGUCUUCAGAAAGUCUUCAGAAAGUCUUCAGAAAUACAAAGUCUUCAGUUGAAGAUCUUAAUUUUUAGGGGUCGACUUUCUUUGUAAAUAUCAAACUCCUCAUAGAAUUAUAGACCUGUGUACACUCACAAACGCAUCGGUCCGUUAACCUAUAAGUCUUCAAUACACCAAAAUCACUAAGGGGCACUAGAUGCACUUACAACUAUAAGCCCCUAUCUUUCUCAGUGUCCGAUUAAAACUCCAUAACCAUUAGUAUGCGUGAGUGUUAGCAAUUGUGGAAGACUAUAUGAUAGUUGAGUAUGUGGAGUUUGCUAAAUCAAAGCUCUGACAUAGACCCUUCCUGAAAAUAAGAUGAAUUGUAAUUGUUUGAUGACUGAGAAUGAAGUUUGCUAGUUUUCAAGAAAGUUUAUGGUCUAUGCUUUAACAUGUGAAUUGCGUGUUGCUUGUUCGUGAGAAGUUUUAUGAGAUGAACUACUGUUAUGACAUAUAAUCAUGCUAGAAAAGGUGAUUGAAAUUAUCAUUGAUCAAACUUCUGCACCUUCUAGCAUUCACACUUCAUAAAAUUCUUUCUUUUAUCAUUUACCUAGUCGAGGACGAGCAGGAAUUAAGCUUGGGGAUGCUGAUACGUCUCCAAUGUAUCUAUAAUUUAUGAAGCAUUCAUGCUAUUUUAUUAUUUGUUUUGAAUGAUUAUGGGCUUUAUUAUACACUUUUAUAUUACUUUUGGGACUAACCUAUUAACUAGAGGCCCAGCCCAUAUUGCUGUUUUAUUGCCUGUUUCAGUAUUUCGAAGAAAAUGAAUAUCGAACGUAGUCCAAACAGAAUGACACCUUCGGAAGCGUGAUUUUUGGAAAGGAUAUGAUCCGGGAGACUUGGAGUUCAAGCCAGGGAAGGUUCAAGGAAGCCAGGAGAUAGGAGGGCGCGCCCACCCCCCUUGGGCGCGUCCCCUGUCUCCUGGGCCCCUCGAGGCUCCCCCGACCGACUUCUUUCGCCUAUAUAAGUCCACGUACCGUAAAAACAUCGAAUACGAAGAUAGAUCGGGAGUUCCGCUGUAGCCACCAAAAACCUCUCGGGAGCCCGUUCCGGCACCCUGGCGGAGGGGGGAUCCCUCACCGGUGGCCAUCUUCAACAUCCUGGUGCUCUCCGUGAUGAGGAGGGAGUAGUUCACCCUCGAGGCUGAGGGUAUGUACCAGUAGCUAUGUGUUUGAUCUCUCUCUCUCCCUCUCUCUCUCUCUCUCUCUCUCUCUCGUGUUCUCUCUAUAGCACGAUCUUGAUGUAUCACGAGAUUUGCUAUUAUAGUUGGAUCUUAUGAUGUUUCUCCCCCUCUACUCUCUUGUGAUGAAUUGAGUUUUCCCUUUGAAGUUAUCUUAUCGGAUUGAGUCUUUAAGGAUUUGAGAACACUUGAUUUAUGUCUUGUUGUGCUUAUCUGUGGUGACAAUGGGAUAUCAUGUGAUCCACUUGAUGUAUGUUUUGGUGAUCAACUUGCGGGUUCCGCCCAUGAACCUAUGCAUAGGAGUUGGCACACGUUUUCGUCUUGACUCUCCGGUAGAAACUUUGGGGCGCUCUUUGAAGUAAUUUUGUGUUGGUUGAAUAGAUGAAUCUGAGAUUGUGUGAUGCAUAUCGUAUAAUCAUACCCACGGAUACUUGAGGUGACAAUGGAGUAUCUAGGUGACAUUAGGGUUUUGGUUGAUUUGUGUCUUAAGGUGUUAUUCUAGUACGAACUCUUGAAUAGAUCGAUCUGAAAGAAUAACUUUGAGCUGGUUUCGUACCCUACCAUAAUCUCUUCAUUUGUUCUCCGCUAUUAGUGGCUUUGGACUGACUCUUUGUUGCAUGUUGAGGGAUUGUUAUAUGAUCUAUCUAUGUUAUUAUUGUUGAGAGAACUUGCACUAGUGAAAUUAUGAACCCUAGGCCUUGUUUGCUAUCGUUGCAAUACCAUUUACGCUCACUUUUAUCAUUAGUUACCUUGCUGUUUUUAUAAUUUCAGAUUACAAAAACCCAUAUCUACUAUCCAUAUUGCACUUGUAUCACCAUAUCUUCGCCGAACUAGUGCACCUAUACAAUUUACCAUUGUAUUGGGUGUGUUGGGGACACAAGAGACUCUUUGUUAUUUGGUUGCAGGGUUGCUUGAGAGAGACCAUCUUCAUCCUACGCCUCCCACGGAUUGAUAAACCUUAGGUCAUCCACUUGAGGGAAAUUUGCUAUUGUCCUACAAACCUCUAUACUUGGAGGCCCAACAACGUCUACAAGAAGGUGUAGUAGACAUCACAAUUCCAUGACAGUUGGCGCCCACCGUGGUGCUCGCGCACGGUGAUGAUGAGUUCUUGAAGGGAUCUAUCUCAGAGAUCGAGAAGAUUGUAAAAUUCGUCAGAUGGAGAAAGAGCCGGCAAAGUUCAUUGAGUUAUGAUCAUAGUCAUGAUUAAAGUUUGAAACAUCAGGCACGAGAUUGAGAUCAAGAGUUAGGGUGGCGUCUGGGAUCCAUUUAAUCUAAUAGCAACCAAUUGUCACUGCUGCACCGCCUACGAAGUUUCAAGAUUUUCUGCGACUUGGUCCGAGGCUGAGUGGAAUCUGUUUGAGUUAAAUCGGCUUGGUCUGCUAGACGUUGUUUACGCGUAUCUGCGCAGUCUCACGCGCGCCUGACCGCGGCUACAUAUUCCAUGGAUAAUCUGCUGGGUCAAGGACCGAGGAAACCAAUACUAAUCAAGAAAAACUGCGAGGCUACUAUGUUGUUACCCUGAACAGAUCACCGAAACGAUUGAAAUUAGGGAUGUGGAGGUUUGUGUUCAUGUGCUAAUACUAUGACCCGGAAACGAAGGUUAGUCAAAGCAACCACGACUCGAAAACGAAGCCGGCCACGAUCCAGAUUCCUCCUGUGCCCGCGACCUCGUUUCGAGGCGCCCGCCUCCGCUGCCUCGCGUACGCCUCGGCGGUUUCCGAGCCGUCGCCGUUCUUCACACCGCGGCUUACCUCUGGCGCUUAGACCGACCUACUUCACUACGACUGCGCCAAGCCAGUCCCGCUACUGCGGUUGAGCCGCCCCCGCGACAAACCGUCGGUCCUCUGACCGCGGUCCGCCCCUCCGUCGCGGACUCGCCGGGGCCCUCUGAGCUGCCGCCUCCAAAGUCGCCAUAGCCUGACGCCACUUCGACCGCAGUACACUCCAGUGGCUGCGACCGGCUCUCUCUGCUCCGCGUCCCGCGAUGGUCAGGUAGCACGCUGCCGCUUCCACACGCCUGCGCAGCCCAGCGCAUCGCUGCUUGCUGCACCGGACUCUGUCCCCAUUUACCUCUGCUGAGCCGCCGUGCCCGCGUCUAAAUUGUCUGCACAAGCCGUCUUUGAGCGAUCCUGCUGCAGCUGUUUACCCAAAAAAAGGGGGGCGCUGCCUGACCACUGUCCCGUGUCUCCAUGGCAGUUGCUUUCCAAAGGCCUGCUACUAGUGCUAAUUGAAACGGAAUUACAAUGGCGCAAUCUCCUAGAAGGACCAUCAUCCAUCACGUGAAAGACAAGACUAGUCAAACUGAUGAGUCAAUUACUCCUUUACUGCUACACAGCAACGACGGUAGGCUUGUUGUGGUGAGACGCCGUUCCUGCACGACGGUGUCCGAUGAAUGCGUGAAGGGCCCACAGUUUGCAGUCCAACAUGCGUUGACACUGGAGACCGUGCAAGCAUCUGUACCAUGCCAGGCUACCAGAAAAUUCAUCCAACACUAGCAUCCUUGUUUAUUUGACAAAAAUAACAGGUGCUAUCUAUCCUAUCUAGUUUUCACACAUAUUGUUUUCAUCAAAGAACAAUUACUUGGUCUAUGAUAUUUUUUCGCAGGACCAGUAUUCUUUAAAAAGGUGUCGCAUAAAGGGUGCAUGCCAGCAUUAUUUGUGCAAGUCGCCGCCCCCGCUACAUCUGCACGCAUGACUGACUCAUCGUCUGCGUCCAUGUUUGUCUCGCCCGAGUCCGGGCCGUUUCCAACGCCGUGGCUGUCUCUUGUGACCGCACCAGUUUACAACGCCACGGACGACUCGCUCGUCCGCUCUCGCGGCCGGUUCACGCGUCCGUGUCGGGUUACAACAAGGAGGACAACUUGCUCGUCUGCACCGGCUUAUAUAUCGCGACCGGAUCAUCAAUAUCAUGGCGGAUAAUUUCCAGCUAAACAUAUCAGGUUAAAUCCAUCUAGUCAAUUUUUUAUUGAUACAUUUUUAUGAUUUCGAGAACAAUUACUCUCACCUGCAAUACCUUUUAUGCAGGAUAAUUAGUCACGACAAAAGUGGCUCAUACCAUGGGUACGGCGCACGUACUAGCAACAUCCUGCCCGGUGUUCGUCCAUGCCAUGUUACACGGUGAAUGGAUGCGUGCAAGACGCCAUCUUCACGACACGGUUUACAUCAGCUUGCUGGGACCGCGCCUGCGAUUAACUCGCUCGUCCAUGCCAGCUUACAAUGUCGCGGCCGAAUCAUCUGUCCGAGCUGCCUCUGAAGUCGCGGUCGUCUUUGUCGUCUGUCUCUCGCGGCCUGGACUACAUCAACAUACUGGGCUGCACCUGUGUGCAUGAGCUGUUAAUUGAGUAUGAGCAAGUCACAGCUUGGGUAGCCCGGUUUUCUUUCAACAAAAUGGAGGCAGAUUAUCAUAUACUAUCAACCGCGGUCUGCACUGAGUGGCUCAAAGGGCAAGUGCACAAGUCACCACCAUUACAGUUUGGUUAACUUCAAAUCGCCAGUUGGAAAGAACCAUUGGCCGAGUUGCUGACAUGGCUCAUAUGGGACCAUUUGUAACUCGUCACAGUCACCUCAACAUUCUGUGGAUUCACAUCGCGUUAUCAACACCAAUGAUAUACGCCUUCUGCUAUGGUCAAAUAUGGAGAAUCUCAAAGACAACUCCUCGAGCCGCCUUGAGACUCGGGGGCUACAUGGACAUGACUCAACAAAUCUUGCCGGUUUCAGCAAAUUUAAGAACCCCAGGACGAUGGAGGGAAAGAUAACCCGGUCCCGGAGGCUACUGUUAUAUUGAUGAAAAUUUAAAGGCCGUCGGACAAUUUCCGGCUUGUUACAAAAUCCCGGCUCAAUGAAGAAGUUCCGGGUCAUCGGAAAGGAUUCCGGUUUAAAAUCCGGCUCAAGGGAAGUUAGUGUCGCUGAAGCUCUCAAAUAUCCGGUUUACAAUCCGGUUCAAGGGAAAUCUGUCUCCCACAAAGCUAUGAAGCUCUCAAUCCGGUUUAAUAAUUUCCAUUUCAAAAAGAAUUAAUUUCUCGCAAGUUCGAGUUUAAAGGCCGUCAGAAAAAUUCCGGCUAAAAAUGAAGGUUCCGGUUUAAAAUCUGGUUCAAGGGAAAGAUGUCUUCCACAAAACUUUGAAGCUCUCAAUAUCCGGAUUAACAUCCGAUUCAAGAAGAAAUAUCUCUCGCAAAGUUCGAGUUCUCAGAAAAAUCACUUGUGGGCUUGGUCGUAUUCGAACCAUAGCUGCACCUCUUGAUCGGUGUAAGGCCAGUAGGGAAAUUAUUUAGGGGCCAAAGAGAGUGUUGCAAAGGCACAACUCAAACAUAGGCACCCGCUGAGCACAGCUCAAAAUAUUGCUUGGGGGCUCUUUGCUUCUCAAAGAACAAAGAGUCUACACUUGUAAUAGGCUAUCAAGCCAGGCUUGGAAGCCAGGCGUAUUCACCUAAAACCCCGGGUUAUCCUGCACUUUUUAAGUAAGCCACUCCAUCCAGGUAAACCUGGUAUGACCUGCCGAACGUUUGACAAGUCAAUCUCAUAGACCCUGAACUUGUCAAAGUUAAAACGACGAUUGGUUAAUGAUUGAGGUCCAUCUUAAAAGGCUUUGUAAAAUGGUUUAACUCAGUGGCCUGGAAGCCCAUGAAAAGCCUCGAUUUUGGGCCUGGCAGCCCAUGAAAAGCCUCGCGUGUUUCUUUUUAUGCUGUUAUUUGCCAAGUUUCUUCUUUGUUGAGAUUUAUAACAUUUUAUGGUAAACCGGCGUUCAUUGACCCGGCUUGUCUUUCAACAAGUUGUUAGUACAUGAUCAAUUAUAAUCCGGUGCUUAUUGACCCGGUCUGAUUUCGACUACAAGUCACCAGUAUUAUAUAUGGAUAAACCGAUGUUUAUUACAACCCGGUAUGGUUUUAUCAUAAACCGGCAAAUAUGGAAGGAGUUAUCAUUACUCAAGAUUGGGGUAUUACCCUUAUUACACAAGUUGGUAAACCAACGAUGUGAUCCAACGUCCCAGGUACGGUUUUAUCAUAAACCACCAGGUAUCAUCUAUUUUAUAUUUUAUUAUUUUCAAAUACAGCCUUGGUUAUAAACCGUGGCUAUACAUUUGGGCAUCAUGACCCGUCCAGCGGUAAACCACUAGGACAGUUUCUACUUCUUGUAUGCAGAAACAGGUUGAAUAAAGCAUAAUUAUAAAUCACCGGUACUUAUUAACCCGGCCUGGUUUUAAGAUGAUAAGUCGCCAGUAUAUGAUGAGAAAUUAUUCGGUGUUUGUUAACCCGGCCUGGCUUUGGACUAUAAGUCGCCAGUAUAUAUUUGGAUUGCGCCAUUGGAAUCAUGCGCUUAUAAAUCAUUGGUAUAUUAUUCAAAUCUUUAAUAGCCAAAAUGGAUGGAUUUUUAUUAUGGUUAUCAAUAACCAGUAUUAUGAUUAAGGUUUUCAAAGUCGCUUUAGCGCAAUGGCUAUCAUAUUAUCAAUGGAUAUGAUUUAUUCUACAAUUGAAGGAAUAGUCCCGAGUUGCUGCGGGCUUACGACCCGGCACUUGGGGGCUACAUUAUUUAAAGUUGAAAUUACAUCAAAUAUGCAAGUCUCAUGUCGUUGCAAGCAUGCACCAUGACACUUGGGGGCUAAUGCAAAGUCAUUUUUUGCUCAUCUUAUUGAAGACCCGACUCAUCACAUUAUAAUGAGUCGGCCCUUGGGGGCUACCAAUUGCUCCUGUCAACAAUUCAAGGUACACAAGUCUUAAAACCAUUAUAUUGAAAGGUCCAUUGCUCAGUUGGUAAAGCACAAAGCUCUUAACCUUGUGGACAUGGGUUCAAAGACCAUGGUGGAAUUACAUCAUAUGAUGUUAUUUUCAAUGAAGCAUGAUCAUAUUUAUAAAGUCCCUGCUCAUUUUUGCAUAAUGACCCGGCCCUUGGGGGCUACACUGGUUGAAGUUUUUUGAGCAUCGGGCAAUUACAAGUCCCAGGUUGCUGCAAACAUGACAACCCGGCACUUGGGGGAUACAUAAUAUGGAGCAUUCAGUUUUUACUAGUGACUGGGAUGAACAACAUGGAUUUCUUCAAAAGUGGCAGUAUUUAUAUUGAAGCAAGUCUUAAGCCAUCACUUUGUUUUGCUCAAGACUUGGGGGCUACGGGUAUUAUAUUAUUAUGGAAGAAAUAUUUUCAAAUUCUCUAUUUUGAGAAAAUCAGAUUGACCCGGCGUCAUCAAUAAUCAUGAACCGGCGUUGGCAACAAUCAUAAACCGGCAUUGGCAACAACCAUGAACCGGCGUUGGCAACAAUCAUGACUCGGAAUUUUCAGUUUUUAUAACCCGACAAUGGUACUAAUCAUAAACCGGCAAGUUCUACAUCUUCAAGCCAGCUGGAUAUCAGUUGAAUAUGACAGAGACCAAUAUUUUUGUCAAGUCAGAGCAUUGAAGGCCAACUCAAAUGGGUUCUUGAUUUACAAUAUUUCUUAUGCAAGCAAGUUGAUUAUGAAGCUGGUCUGUUAACCUGGAAUUUCUAGAAGAAGAAAAGGACAAGGACUUACGGAUGUUCAGGUGCCAGUUUACAAGAAUUCUUAACCAGGAGCACAACCUGUCAAAUUUGUUCUUGUGUUUAUUUUGCAGCAUAAGUUUACCAUGGAUAAAUCCAAGCUAAAAUAGGGGUUAAUGUCGGGGAUAUACCCCGCGAUAUGACCCGGCCAGAAAUAUGACCCGGACGGACUUGGCGGUUUACUUGAGACCCGGUUUACACUUGGUGAUUCACUAGCGACCCGCCCUAAUCAGACGGUUUACAAGAAACCUGCCUGAACAUUAUGACUCACUGGUAACCCGGCGGGCGGGACAGACGGAUGACAAGGCCCAAGGCCCAGAAGGCCGGUUUAUAUUAAUGGUGGGCCGGUUUAAGAGGAAAGGCGUGAAGAAUAUUUACCUUUACAAGGAGUUAAGACACAGACUUGUAUCCGGUUUGUAUUAGAAGGUAGACUAGUCCUAAUCCUAAUGGGAGUCCACAUGUAACCCGCCCCUUCAACAUAUAUAAGGAGGGGCAGGGCUCCUGUAAGUGCAUCUAGUGCCCCUUAGUGAUUUUGGUGUAUUGAAGACUUAUAGGUUAAGGGACUGAUGCGUUUGUGAGUGUACACAGGUCUAUAAGUCUAUGAGGAGUUUGAUAUUUAUAGAGAAAGUCGACCCCUAAAAAUGAAGUUCUUCCACUAAAGACUUUGGAUUUUUGAAGACUUUUUGAAGACUUUGAAGGUGAAGAAAUUGGUGUGACCUUGAAGACUUGGCAAUCAUUCGAGGAACAUGAAGCAUGAAGACUUUUGUUUUUAUAGUUUCAUUUUCUCUUUCUUGAGUCAUAGGAAACACUGUACUGUUAAAGGGGGUCGAGGAAAUACUAAGGAAAAAUUUCCAUGUGAUGCUCAACUCAAAAUCCUACACCUACCAAUCCCUUCGAGUGAAGCCAUUAGAAAUCUCAUACAGUUCAGUCAUAUUCUUCAGUGAUAGAGACGAAGUUCUUCUGGUCUCUGAGGAAUUUGUUCUGACUGAGGAGUUAGGAAUUCACCAGUGUGAAUUGUCUACACAGUGAGGAACAUGAUAGCCCUGAGGUAUUUGAGAGUCAAAUAUUCCGACCAUUGCUGUGCUAUGCGCCAGCUGUCCCAAAAUAUCAACCCACCUAACGGUCAUAUCAGACAAGGGCAUUUAUGUCUUAUCAUGUCGGGUUGCUCCCUAGGCUAUAAAUAGCCGCCCCCUACAACCACUAGCUGGUUGGCUGCUCCAAGAGAAACUGACACUUGUCAACUGAGAGCAACCCAUCCUCCGAGGACUUUGAGCGAAAAUCAUCAAGUGAGGAAAACGCAAACCCAACACCUACAAACCCAAAGUGAUUGAGCAUCACUAAAGAGAUUGAUCCUGCGUGGAUCCGACGCUUGUUUCCUUUGAAGACUGUGCUUCUUCCAGACAGUUAGGCGUCAAGGUCUAGAGCAUCCAAGAGGAAUUGUGGAUCGCCGAGUGACCGAGUUUGUGAAGGUUCGGAAGUCACCUGAAGACUUACCACGAGUGAUUGGGCGAGGUCUGUGUGACCUUAGCUCAAGGAGAAUACGGUGAGGACUGUGUGUCCGGGACUGGGUGUCCUCGAGUUUGAAUACUCAGCCACUCCAACCAGAUGUACAACUGAGACAGCAGUUGGAACUGGUCUACCAAAUCAUUGUCUUCACCGAGCUAACUGGUUCUAUCUCCUCAACUCUUUCAUUUCCUCAUGUAUGUUGUUGUGUGCUUGUUCAUAUCUGUUUGAAGACAUUGACUGAAGACUUUCUCAAUUUCCUCAGUUCUAUUUCUUCAGUUUGUCCGUCUUCUUCCUCGUGUUAUCCUGUGUUUAUGCUUUUUGUACUGUGUGCUUGUCUUCAUUUCAUCAUGAUGACUAUGCUUGUGUUCUGUUUGAAGACUUUGACUGAAGAUUUUCUCAAUUUCCUCAGUUCAAUUUCUUCAGUCUGUCCGUCUUCUUUCUGUGUUAUCAUGUGUUUACGCUUUCUGUACUUUGUGCUUGUCUUCAUUCCAUCAUGAUGACCAUGCUUGUGUUAUGUUAUGUUUACAUUUGAGUACUUAUUCCACUGCUUGUAGUUCUUCAUUUAGGAAUUUCCUCACCAGCAAAUUCCUCAGUGAAGAAUUCAUAAAAAUCGCCUAUUCACCCCCCCUCUAGUCGAUAUAACGCACUUUCAAUUGGUAUCAGAGCAAGGUACUCUCUUGUUCUGUGUGAUUUUGGUUUAACCGCCUGGAGUUUUAGUUAUGUCGACCGCAGGUAUGAUCAAAGUCUCUCCUGGGUGUCCUAACUUCGAUGGAACGGACUACCCCUACUGGAAGAACAAGAUGCGAAUGUAUCUUGAGGGAAUUGACAAUGAUCUCUGGUAUGUUGUGGAAAAUGGUGUUCCCUCAGUCACACCUUCCCUGAACGCUACUGAUGUGAACAGAUUCAAGCAACUCGAUUCUCAAGCGAAGAAUAUCACAUGUGGCCAUCUGAGCAAAGGACAAUAUGGUAGAGUGAGUGCUUUGGAAACUACUAAGCUUAUCUGGGAUAGGCUGUCCAAAGUGAAUGAAGGAGUCUCAACUCAACGUGACUCUCGUGUUGACAUUCUUCACAAUCUCUUCAACCGCUUCAAAAGACUCGACAAUGAAAAUGUUCAGCAAACUUUCGAUCGCCUCACUGACAUCUCAAAUGAGCUUCAAGCGCUUGGCGCCACUGACAUCACCGACCAUGAGGUGGUGAAGAAAUUGUUGAGAUCGCUGGAUUCUUCAUUUGAUACUCUGGCACUAAUGAUUCAAGAGCGUGCUGACUAUAAGUCACUUGAUCCCGUUGAUAUCCUCGAAAGGCUAAAUACUCAUGAGUUCCAGCUUGCUGAGAAGAGAGAUCUCUACGGUUCGAGCUAUGGUAAACCACGUGCUUUGAAGGCCAAGGCAGUCUCUGAGUCUGAAGAAGAGGACUCCACUAGCAGCCUUGGUGAUCCUGAAGAUCUGAGCCAGGAACUAGCAUUGCUCGUGAAGAAAUUUCAGAAGUUCUCAAGAUGUGGUCGCUUUGGGAAAUCCUCAAGGAGCAUUGAUUCCUCAUCCAAUGACUACAAGAAAAGGCUAUGUCACAAGUGCAAGAAACCUGGUCAUUACAUUCAAGAUUGUCCUCGGUGGGAUAAGGAAUUGAAGAAGAAGAAAUACAAGGAUUACAGUUUUGAUGAUGCCAAGAAGAAGAAGAAAUCUUCAAAGUCUUCAUCAUCAAAAUCCUCAAAGUCUUCAUAUCACAAGAAGAGCAGCUCCAAGAAGGCUCGGGCAUUCAUAGGCAAGGAAAUGGAUUCUGAGGCUGAAUCUAAGGAUCAUGAGGAUGAGGAGGCAUCCGAGGAGUCCGAGUCUGGUGCGGCAAGCCUGGCUCUUGCUACCGCGUUCGUCAGCAAGUCUAUCUUCAACUCUGAAGAAAAUGGCAACACCGACAAUGCUGAUGAAGGCAAUGAUGACUAUGCUCCCACCUAUUGCUUCAUGGCAAAGGGUGCCAAGGUAACUAAAUAUGCCUCCUCUGACUCUAGUGAGGAUGAAUCUGAUGAAAAUCUCAAGCCCAGGUACUCUAAACUUGCUAAAAUUGCUGUGAAACAACAAAAGGCCCUUGAAAAGGUUCAAAACAUGCUAGACAAAAGUGAUGAUAUGCUGGGUGAAGAAAUGGAUCGCACUAAAACCUUGACUGAAAAUCUUCAAAGACUUCAGUCCAGGUUUGACAAUCUUCAAGGUCAUCAUCACACUCUCUUAUCUGAUCACGAGAAGCUUUCUUAUGAAUUUCUUCAAAGAAAUCAAGAUCUUGAAAAGCUAAGAGUGGAUUAUGAAGAUCUUCAUAAGGAUCAUGAUUCAUUACUUGCUCAACAAAUCAGCGCUACCCAGGAAGAAUUUGUUCCUCCAUGUCUAAAGUGCAUUGAACGUGAAACUGCUAAUUCUUCUCCUGAAUGUUCAAAUGCUUCUAAUGCUACAAAUUCUUCAUAUGUCUCUACUAUCACUAAUUCCUCAUCUGAGGACAAUGCAAGUAUCACUGAUGAUGCAGGGCUGAAGGAAUUGUACAUGACAGGCAUGUACAAAAGCCUCAAAGGGCAUCAGACUCAUUGUGAUGUGCUCAAAAAGCAGAUCCUCAAUAGAAACCCUAGGAAAGAGGGUAUUGCCUUUGGGAGGAAACUCAUGGAACAUAUUGGAAGCCCGAGCAGUACCCCAAAACCUCAUGGGUUGCUGCAAAGGGACCUCCAGUUGAUCCAUCCAACUUAUCUGGCUUUACAUGUGAAUCUCCUCAUUCUUCUGAUGAGUCAUUUGACUCUAACUAUAAACUGCUCAAAAAUCAGAAUGGUGAAGUAUUUGCUAGAUAUGUUGGGACUAACUGCAGGAACGGUUCUCCUAUGAAGAAAAUCUGGGUUCCCAAAAGUUGCCUUGAAAGUCUUCAGGUGAAUGUCCUCAUGACACCACCUGUGAAGAAUAGGAACCCCAGAUCAACUUCUUCAUAUGAACCAAAUUCUUCAUAUGGAUCCAAGUCCUCAAGUGGACCAAAUUCCUCACGUGGAUCAUAUUCCUCAAAUGGAUCAAAGUCCUCUUAUGAUCAUCAUCGUGCUAACCCUUCUGUUUCGCAGGGUAGAGCUAAGGGCUAUGAAUAUGUGCAUUAUUCUUCAAAUCAUUAUGUUCAUAAGUCCUUGAAGAAUUUCUCUGCUUAUUCAUAUGCUUACCCUAACCCCUCUUAUGUGAAACAAAGCGGACUGGCUUCUAUGCCACCUUUCUCAUAUGGUGCACGCAGAGUGAUGAAUUCUUUGCCACCCCUCCAGAUGUGGGUGGUGAAGAAAAAGAACUAAUGUCUUUUGCAGGGUCAGGUCUCCAGUCGUACUCAAAACGACUGAAGAAUUUGCUGGAGACCUGAACAGUGCCUGAUAGGAUGCAAGCUAAUCAUGAUGAAAUGAACUUUCAUUUCACACGUCCUCCUACUGAUUAUUUGUUCUAAUUGCUUGAUAAAAUUGACCUGAUGAUAUUAGUGUCUUAUUCUUCACUGAUGAAGUCUAUGAGUUUGUAAGCUGCACUAAUUCAUCUACAGGAUGAUCAACCCAAAGCAAAUGAGUGGGUCAUCGAUAGUGGAUGUACAAAUCACAUGACCGAUGACAAGAAUCUAUUGAUGGAUGCUCCCUUAUCACCGUCACAUCUGAAGCAUAUCAUCUUCGCAGACAAAGGCAAAAGUCAUGUAUUGGGUCUAGGUAAGGUUGCGAUCUCAAAGGACUGACACAUGGACAAAGUCAUGCUUGUUGAGUCGUUAGGAUACAAUCUCAUGUCUGUCUCAAUGCUUUGUGAUCUUGAUAUGGUUGUUGUCUUUGGAAGAUAUCGUUGUGUUGUAAUCAUGAAAGCUGACCAUUCCAAAGUCUUCGAAGGCUUUAGGAGAGGAGAUCUGUAUAUUGUUGAUUUCUCUACAGGACCACAACCAGCCGUGUGCUUACUUGCAAAAGCUUCAGAAGGCUGGCUAUGGCAUCGACGACUUGGUCAUGCUGGCAUGAGGAAUCUGCACACGCUCGCGAAGAAGAAGCAUGUCAUUGGCAUUGAGAAUGUCAAAUUCCUCAAGGAUCACUUAUGCGGAGCCUGUGAAGCUAGGAAGAUGACAAAUGCCAAGCAUCCAGUGAAGACUAUCAUGACAACCACUCGACCAUUUGAAUUGCUUCACAUGGAUCUCUUCGGUCCAAAUCAUUAUUCUGAUGUUACAAAUGAUGCAUCUCUAUAUGGUUUUGUUAUUGUUGAUGACCAUUCUCGUUACACAUGGGUGCACAUUGUAACUUACAAACAUGAGGUGCAGGAAGUCUUCAAACAAUUUUCCUCGAAGGCUUCAACCAACUUUGGUGUGAAGAUCAAACACAUCAGAAGUGACAAUGGGACUGAGUUCAAGAAUUCCGGUCUUGAUAGCUAUCUUGAUGAACUUGGUAUUACUCAUGAGUUAUCUGCUCCUUAUACUCCUCAGUAGAAUGGCGCCGUGGAGCGCAAGAACAGAACUCUCGCUGAAAUGGCUCGCACUAUGCUUGAUGAAUACAAAACACCUCGUCGAUUCUGGAUUGAUGCAAUUGAUACCGCUUGCCACAUCAUCAACAGAGUAUAUCUUCACAAUUUCUUCAAGAAGACUGCCUAUGAACUCCUCACUGACAAGAAACCCAAUGUGAGUUACUUCAAAGUCUUCGGUGCUAAAUGUUGGAUUAGAGAUCCUCAUCACAAUUCUAAAUUUGCAUCGAAAGUACAUGAGGGUUUUAUGCUUGGUUACGGAAAGGACUCGCACACCUACAGAGUCUUCAACAACGUUCUUCACAAGGUUGUUGAAACUGUAGAUGUGUGGUUGGGUGAAACUAAUGGCUCGCAAAGAGAGCACCUACCUUCUGUAAUAGAUAAUCCAGCACCCGAGGAUUCUAUCAAGCUCAAGGCUACUGAGGAUGUCAUUCCUACUGAAGAAUCUACUGAAGAAUUCAUUCCAGAACAUGAUGAACAUCAAGCUGGCGCACCUGAAGAAAAUGGUUCUAAAGAAAAUGCUCCUGAAGAAAAUGCAGAUCAAAUUCCUCGAAGACAACCCACUCAUCCUCGCAUUGCUAACGAAGUGCAAAUCGAGAAGAUCAUCGAUGACAUUGAAGCCCCAGGUCCUCUCACACGCUCAAAAUCUUCUCAUUUAUCUAACUUUUGUGGGCACUUUGCGUUUGUCUCUAUCACAGAGCCCACUGAGGUAGAUGAAGCAUUUAUGGAGCCUGAGUGGAUUCAAGCUAUGCAAGAAGAAUUACAUCAAUUCAAGCUCAACAACGUCUGGGAACUGGUCAAACGUCCAGAUCCUCACAAGCACAACAUUAUUGGCACAAAGUGGAUCUACCGCAACAAGCAAGAUGAAAAUGGCCUUGUGGUGAGGAAUAAGGCACGGCUUGUAGCUCAAGGCUACACACAAGUUGAAGGAAUUGACUUCGAUGAAACUUUUGCACCUGUAGCUAGACUUGAGGCUAUUCGCAUAUUACUUGCUUACGCUAACCAUCAUGAUAUUAUCUUACAACAAAUGGAUGUGAAAAGUGCAUUCCUCAAUGGUAAGCUUGAGGAAUAAGUAUAUGUUGCUCAACCACCCGGUUUUGAAGAUCCAAAGAAUCCCGACAAAGUCUUCAAACUCAACAAGGCCAUGUAUGGCCUCAAGCAAGCCCCUCGGGCGUGGUAUGAUACUUUGAAGGAAUUCUUCAUGAAGAAAGGCUUCAAACUCGGUUCACUCGACCCAACUCUUUUCACUAAAUCUUAUGAUGAUGAAUUGUUUGUAUGCCAAAUAUAUGUUGAUGAUAUCAUUUUUUGCUGUACUGACCAAUGAUAUAGUGAUGAAUUUUCCCAUAUGGUGAGUGAAGAAUAUCAAAUGUCUAUGAUGGGAGAAGUGAAAUUCUUUUUAGGUCUUCAAAUUCGUCAACAGCGCAAUGGGAUACUCAUAUCUCAGGAGAAAUACCUCAAGGACGUAUUGAGGAAAUUCGGCAUGCAAGAUUGCAAAGGGGUCAAAAUUCUAAUGCCCAUAAAUGGCCAUCUAUGCACUGAUGAAAAUGGUAAAGACUUCGAUCAAAAGGUAUACCGCUCCAUGAUAGGUUCUUUAUUGUACCUAUGUGCAUCUAGGCCGGAUAUUAUGCUUAGUGUUUGCAUGUGUGCCCGAUUUCAAGCUACACCGAAGGAAUCACACCAUAAGGCUGUGAAGCAUAUUCUUCGAUACUUAGCUCACACACCAACACUUGGAUUAUGGUAUCCCAAGGGCUCUACUUUUGAUCUCAUUAGAUAUUCAGACUCUGACUAUGCUGGCGAUCGCGUGGACCGCAAGUCAACAUCUGGUACAUGUCAUUUCCUCGGACGAUCUUUGGUCUGUUGGUCCUCGAAAAAACAGAAUUGUGUAUCUCUCUCCACUGCAGAAUCUGGAUGCAUUGCUGCUGGAUCGUGCUGUGCUCAAUUACUAUGGAUGAAGCAAACACUCAAGGACUAUGGCAUCAACAUGAAGAAUGUGCCUCUCUUCUAUGACAAUGAGAGUGCCAUCAAAAUUGCUCAUAACCUAGUUCAGCACUCGAAGACCAAGCACAUCCAGAUUCGUCAUCAAUUUCUUCGUGAUCAUGUGUUGAAGGGCAACAUCUCCAUCGAUCACGUCAGCACUGAAGAUCUAUUGGGCGAUAUCUUCACUAAGCUCUUGGAUGAGAAGAGAUUUAGCAAGUUGCGAUGUGAGCUAAAUAUCCUAGAAUCUUCGAAAGUUCUCUGAAAUGGACACACAUCCUAACACUUAUACUGACUUGAUGACUUAGAUGCGCAACACACGAAGUAACGUUUUUCUUCAAUCAAUGAAGACUAACCCUCUAAGUGUGAAGAAAUAGAUUCCCAGAGCCCUACGACAAUUGUACGCGGCGUCUGAAAUCAGCUUUCUUAUACGGUGGGUCACGCCACCAACCAAAGUUGAAAAUCUUCAAUUUGAGUUUUUCUUCGUUUUGAAAUUCCUCAGUUUUCAAAUUCUUCAACUUUGCAUUGUCUUUGCUCUUUCCAGUGUUGUUCUUCAUUUGAAUAUAUAUAUAUAUAUAUAUAUAUAUAUAUAUAUAUGAGUUUUAUGUCCUCUACAACAUUCACUUAUUGCUAUUUCUUCAAGUUGAUUUCUUCUGCUAAGUGAAUGUGAUCGGACUCUUCCCUCUCUAUGCUAAACUCAACCCAGUCUAUUCACAAAUUCUUCAUGUGCGUUCUAUUUGAAACUCAUUCAAAUUCUUCACUGUGUCCUUGACAGCUGAAGAAAUUGCGAACGGAACUUUUAACUUAUCUUAUCUGAAUUUUCGGCUUUGCCGCUCAAACUGUUCCGCUUCUCAUGACAAAUACUCAUCUAUUCACCCACGAUCCUACAAGAUCGCCACCUCACAGUACGUAGGUGACACAUGUCACGUGAAUGAGAAGGGCCAGGGGCACGUUCGUCCGAUUUCCUCGGUUGAACAAUUUUUCACUUUCUCUAUAAAUACCCCUGUCUCUUCCUCACUUCACUUUCACCUCGCUCGUGCUCUCACUCUCGCUUGAGCUUCCCCAGAACCCUAGCGCCGCCGCUACUUCAUCGUCGCCGGUGAGUAAGAUCUUCACUGCCUCGACCUCGUCGCCGUCGUACUCAUGCCGGUUGCGGAUUUCUUCACUCUGCCGCCGACGUAGCCGUAUUCCUCUGCCAAGUUAGGGCGUGGAAGAUCUGAACUGACGAACUUCUCAUCUACACUUCCCAGUUCGUCGUGUUCUUCACUUCGGGUAAUUAAAAGUUACUUUUAUUGCUCACUUUGAUUCUCAAGUUUUCUUAAAAAUCUUCAAAGGUGUUUAUUCUUCAAAUCUUCACACACAUUAACACCUCACUUGUAAUCUGCUCUUGAUUCAUUUCUCUAAGCAAUGAUUUUCAUCAAGAUUCCUCAAUUGUGUGGAUUUUCAAUCUAUACAACUCUAGAACCUAAGACAAAAACGCUUAGUGAAAUUCCUCAAGACUCAUCUGGUCAAAUUCCUCAAAACCUAUUCUUUUUGAAAAACCUUCUCAGAAUGCAUAUGACCUCUCCAAAUUCCUCGCAACUAUACUUUGUUCACAGGUACAAAUGUCCGCUACUGAAUCACUAGGUUCUCAUCAACUUAACUCAUUUGCAGCAUUCCUCGAAGAAAAGUUGCACACCUCUUCAGAAACUUCAGUUGUUCAUAUUCCUCAGCUGAAUAAAAUGGGUGAUAAAAGGCCACAGAAGGGUGGAAAGAGGCUUGAGGUCAAUACUGCAUUUGAAAUUCCUGAGGACAUAUACAGGGACUACUGCACACCUGAUGAAGCCAAAUUCGGCAAAGAGGACAAGAAUCAGCUCAAGGUGCGCAUACAAAGGAUAGAGAGGAGAUGGGCACGAGAAUGGAGGGAGUACAGAUAUGUCACUCCCAAGUACAUGAAGAAAUUUGCACUCAACCCUCCAUGCCCAAGACCUCCAUUGGCACCAAGCCAGUUGGCAGAUCCUACCAGCCUCAAGCGUGGUGAGGAUUAUCCUGAUGAAUGGGCAAAGCGCCAAGCCAAAUUGUCUAAACAAGCAAAGGAAGCAGUGAAGAAAUUCAACACAGACUCUGCUGCUGCUGCUGCUACCUCUGCUGAGGCCUCUGCUAGUCUGCCAAAGAAGGCAAUGCACAAGAAGCCUGUGCAUAAGUCCAGUGCUUCAUCUUCAAUGUCCUCAUGGCCAAGCCCCUCUGCUAUGCCAUCAAGGCCAGAUUCUUCAAGGCCCUCACGGCAAAUUCCUCAGACUGCUCCGUCAAAGUCCUCAGCUCCUCCGUCAAAAUCUUCAGCUGUUCCGAAAAAAUCCUCGGCACCUAUGCAUCUCGCCACGUGCCAAAGGACUCAAGGCUUCUCUAUUGCCUCUGGAGCAUCUGCAAGCUCCUCAGCUGCUCAAACUUCCUCAGCUGGUCCCUCACUGCUGAAGAAAAAGGCCACUGCUGGAUGAGGUAUUCGACCAAGUCCUCACAAGAAGCAAGUCGCUUUCCAAGUGCCCUCUGAUGAUGAUGAGGCAGAUGAUGAAGAACUCGCUGAAAUCAUCAGAAACAGGCAAGCCAGGGACGCUAGAGCUAAAGGCAACAAUAUGCCGCUGAUGCUGGAUCCAAAGUUGAUCCUCGACUACAUUGACCUGUGGCACAAGGAUCCUAACACGCCUUUGUCGGAGAUGAACCUCACUCCUGGUCAAAGUCAUGUUCUUACUGCCUUCAUUGAGGAAGAAAAAUGGAAAUUUGAGCAAGAUAGAAGUUUGAAGAAAGCGCAAUACAAGAAACAGUGCUACCUCAAGGACAAUGUCCUCACUCUCACUCCUGAUUAGCUACUUGCCUUGCAAGUGGAAAUCAAACAACUGAGCGAUGAAUUUGAUCGCUACCAUGCUGAUUGGAAGGGCGCCAAGGUGCGUUUCGUCAAUCUGACGAAGAAAUUCACUUCAAGUGUUGCCCCACCUAUGCACGUUGAAGUUACUCGAGCUGAGGCAUCUGCUCAGCCUACUGAAGUACAUGCCAGCACCGCUGAUGACAAUCAGGCUGUUGAAGAAAAUGAGAGUGCCAGGGCUGAUGACUCCAUUCCAGUCGCUGAAGAUAUUGCCAGGGCAUCCACUAGUGGUGCGCCUGAAGAAAGUGAACAAGUCAGGGCAACUGCAUCAGUUGCGCCUGAGGAAAAUGAACCAAAGUCCUCUGCAUCUUCUGCGCCUACCCCAACUCCAAUCCUUCCAUCUGCAUCAGAUGCGAAGAAGACCAAGGCUGCAGAACGUGCAGCUGUGAAGAAAAGGAAGGCAUCAACUUCUUCAAAUUCUUCAGCUCCAAAGAAAAUGAAGACUUUGAUCAAUUUGAUUGACAAUCCAAUUGACGUCGUUCCAGUUUCAUCAAUGCCAUCAAAGGACCUUGUUCCUUUUGGUGAAGAUUAUGUGAUUCCUGAUGAAUCUGAUGAAGAAACUCCUUCUGCUACUUCGACAGAGAAGUUGGACGAAGAAAUUGAAGUGGAUGAGAUCCCUUCAACCCCAGUCAUUUCCUCACCUAUGCCUCAGUUUACUGCUGAAGAGGUAGGUGUUGAAGAAAUUGAAGAUGAGGAUGUGGACAUUGGGUGUACCACUCCUGUGCUCAAUGAUGAAUUUUGGGACAGUCAACAUCCAAACUCACCAACGUUCACUCCACUCCAAGCUAUUCCUCAGUCCCCUGCCGCCACUGAAGUGCAAAUGGGAUCUAAAGAACCUCAUGCAACCCCAAGUGUUCAUGAAGAAAUUCCAGCCACUAGUGCUGAAGAAAUUGUCAAUGAAGAAUUGACGACCCAGGCUGAAGCUGAAGAAGAGCCUGAAAUUCCUCAGCCUGAGGAACCUGAGAUUGCGAUUCCUGAAGUGGUGCUGCAAUUGACUAACACUCCUCAGCCCAAGCCAAAGGAUCCCUUCUCCAAGAAGCAAAAAUUCAAGGCUGAUGAUUUCUUCAGCGAGCACGUAUUCUUCACUGAAUUCAACCCCUAUGACAAUGCUUGUCUUAGAAGGAAGCAUUUCUGGACUGCUAGCCAGGCCAACUUCUAUUCCUUAGUGCUUUACAACAAGGACAAAGUCUUCGACCACGAGCACAUUCCUCAUGUGGACAUGGAAUCCAUGCCUUGCUUCUCUCAAGUCCUCAGCAUGACUCAUGAUGUUGGCUUGCUAAAUUUCUGCUCUGACAUAGUUGAUUAGAAUGAAGAGCUUAUUCUUCAGUUUUACGCAACUCUGCAUAUCACAAGCGAUGCUACUGACGUCAACUCGUGGGUGUUGGACUGGAUGACUAAAAACACUCAUUACAAGGCACCAGCCUCUGAAUUGCUUCGUGCCUUACCAAUCAGUCCUCCACUUGAUGGUGCUCGUUGUCUAUAUGAUGAGACUGAACUCACUGAUCACUAUAUGCAAGUGCUCAUGAAGCCGCUAAAGCCAGGACAAGCUCCAAGGACCAAAUUCCUCGUGAAGGAAUUGCUCUAUGUGCCAAGAACAAUCUACCGCAUUCCGACGAAGACCAUGAGUCCUAUCAAAGGCCAUGACUCAUCUGAUGAAGAAAUUAUCAGAAUGAUGAAGAAUAUGCUUUUCAACAACAUGCAUGGCAUCCCCAUAAAUUAUCAUGAUUUCUUCAUGAGGACUCUGGCGAAUGUUGCACUUUCACCAUUUGAGCUGAAGCCUUACGCAUCGUGGAUCAUGAGAUUCCUCAGAACAAGGUCUUCACUCAACUACAAGGCUGAUUUUCAGAAUCACCUCAUCUACUUGCCCCCUAUUGAAGUCCUCAAGUGGACUAUUUCCUCAUCUGAUGAGAAGGGCAAGUCACCAGCCGUGAACGAUGAAGGCAUUCGUCCAUUGGAUGGUCAGUUCCACAAAGUUGCAUCUUACUCCACCAAUGAUGACUCUGCCACUCAUGAUUCUGCUGCCAAUGCUACCAAGUCAAGUCCUCAAGCUACUGCUCCACGUGUGAUGACUGACCGUGAACUGCUUAUAAGUCUUCACCAGAAGGUGGAUCGAAAUCACAAGUGGGUUAAGCGUCAGUUUGGUUCUAUUCUUCACAACAUGACUUCUACACAUAAUGCAGUGAAGAAAAACCACUACUACCUCCAUGAAGUGUUUGAUUGCACCUGGGCUAUUCUGUCACAUCUAUAUGGUGAGAAAGAUCUGAAGCAAAUGGGCUUCAUGGAAGACUUUGACUGGUCUGCUCCACCACCGAAGAGAUUCAAGAAAGUCAAGGUUCCUUCCUUGGUGGCUAGCUCAUAUUCUUCAUCACGCGCCACGGAUGAGCAUGAAGAUUUGGACGACACUGCAGCAGGCCCUACAACAACUAAGAGCCUGACGACGCUGGCGCUCCUCCAUCAUCAUGAUAUUCUUCAGGGGCGUUAGUCCUCAGUUUCAACCCUUUUGGUCAUUCGAUGAUGAAGGGGGAGAAAUUUGAGUUAGUCUUCAAGCAGGUCUAUCUUAUAUGGGUGUUUUUUGCUAAGUUACAACUCUCGUUCUUCUGAUGACUUUGUUGGAUCGAGUUGUAAUCUUAAACUCUAUGGUGGCCUGAUACUUUUGUUGUGUUCUUCUGGAUGCUUAUUCCUCAUUAAUGUUAAUGCACGCAUGCUGAAUUACACCAGUCACCAUAUUUCAUCAUGCAUUUCAAAUUCUUCAUAUUAUAUAUCAAAUGCGUGUAUGAAUUACAAGAUAUAGGGGGAGAUAUCCAUGAUUAUACUCUUCAAGUGUGCAUUGCUUCAAAAGCAAAAUCCUCACUAUGCACAUCUUCAGGGGGAGUUCUUCUAUAUCUUGCAAUCAAAUUCCUCAAUAUCAGUAUUCACACUUCACAUGUUUAUCCCCGUUGAAAACUUAAUCUAUAUUAUCAUCAAUCACCAAAAAGGGGGAGAUUGUAAGUGCAUCUAGUGCCCCUUAGUGUUUUUGGUGUAUUGAAGACUUAUAGGUUAAGGGACUGAUGCGUUUGUGAGUGUACACAGGUCUAUAAGUCUAUGAGGAGUUUGAUAUUUACAGAGAAAGUCGACCCCUAAAAAUGAAGUUCUUCAACUGAAGACUUUGGAUUUCUGAAGACUUUCUGAAGACUUUGAAAGUGAAGAAAUUGGUGUGACCUUGAAGACUUGGCAAUCAUUCGAGGAACAUGAAGCAUGAAGACUUUCGUUUUUAUAGUUUCAUUUUCUCUUUCUUGAGUCAUAGGAAACACCGUACUGUUAAAGGGGGUCGAGGAAAUACUAAGGAAAAAUUUCCAUGUGAUGCUCAACUCAAAAUCUUACACCUACCAAUCCCUUCGAGUGAAGCCAUUGGAAAUCUCAUACAGUUCAUUCAUAUUCUUCAGUGGCAGAGAUGAAGUUCUUCUGGUCUCUGAGGAAUUUGUUCUGACUGAGGAGUUAGGAAUUCGCCAGUGUGAAUUGCCUACAUAGUGAGGAAGAUGAUAGCCCUGAGGUAUUUGAGAGUCAAAUAUUCCGACCGUUGCUGUGCUACGUGCCAGCUGUCCCAAAAUAUCUACCCACCUAACGGUCAUAUCAGACAAGGGCAUUUAUGUCUUAUCAUGUCGGGUUGCUCCCUAGGCUAUAAAUAGCCGCCCCUACAACCACUAGUUGGUUGGCUGCUCCGAGAGAAACUAACACUUGUCAAUUGAGAGCAACCCAUCCUCCGAGGACUUUGAGCGAAAAUCAUCAAGUGAGGAAAACCCAAACCCAAAGUGAUUGAGCAUCACUGAAGAGAUUGAUCCUGCGUGGAUCCAACGCUUGUUUCCUUUGAAGACUGUGCUUCUUCCAGACGGUUAGGCGUCAAGGUCUAGAGCAUCCAAGAGGAAUUGUGGAUCGCCGAGUGAUCGAGUUUGUGAAGGUUCGGAAGUCACCUGAAGACUUACCAUGAGUGAUUGGGCGAGGUCUGUGUGACCGUAGCUCAAGGAGAAUACGGUGAGGACUGUGUGUCCGGGACUGGGUGUCCUCGAGUUUGAAUACUCAGCCGCUCCAACCGGAUGUACAACUGAGACAGCAGUUGGAACUGGUCUACCAAAUCAUUGUCUUCACCGAGCUAACUGGUUCUAUCUUCUCAACUCUUUCAUUUCCUCAUGUAUGUUGUUGUGUGCCUGUUCAUAUCUGUUUGAAGACACUGACUGAAGACUUUCUCAAUUUCCUCAGUUCUAUUUCUUUAGUCUGUCCGUCUUCUUCCUCGUGUUAUCAUGUGUUUACGCUUUUUGUACUCUAUGCUUGUCUUCAUUUCAUCAUGAUGACUAUGCUUGUGUUCUGUUAUGUUCCUUUUUGAGUACUUAUUCCGCUGCAAGUAGUUCUUCAUUUAGGAAUUUCCUCACCAGAAAAUUCCUCAGUGAAGAAUUCAUAAAAAUUGCCUAUUCACCCCCCCCUCUAGUCGAUAUAACGCAUUUUCAGCUCCCAAAAGAGGGGGAAGCAAGAAGAAACAAUUUCUAGGGCUAGACACAAAGAGCCGGUUUACCGGCGACUCUCUCGUGAUGAUAAUGAGACCUAGCCACAAACAACAUGUAGGGUUGUUACCGGAUGAUGUUUCCCGGGGCCCAAAGCUGUCUAAACUCUUGUCUUGCAUUGCGUCUCUCGAUUCCGCUCAACCCCUCUCAAGCUACCACAUAGAUGCGUUGGCCUCACGACUAAGUCCUCGCACUAGGACAUCUGUCGUGACAAUUCCACGACAGUGCCUUAAGCGCUAGCUGGCGCCCACUACACCUCUUUGUUAGUUUUACUCGGGCCAUGUAAACCAAAGAGAAGAAGUUGGGGCUCUAGUCCUCUCCUCUGAGCCUCCAGGAGAGAGAGAGAGAGGGAGGGAGGGAGGGAGAGAGAGAGAGGCAACAGUGCGACGAGGCGGGCUGGGCUGGACGGGCUCCGCGUGUUAUCAAGAGAUAUCAGGCCGCUCGUCCGUAUUGCUCGAGCAUUUCUGCCUUUGCCGUAGCUGCCCCUCAGCUUCAUGCAUAGUUACAUCUCAUGGGGUUUAAGUGGAUGGGGCUGUGGCAAAAUCCUCAAAUGUAGGAGUUGUUGUUGUAGUUUGCCGCAAUGAAGAAGGCUUGUUUCUAGGGGCGUCUGCAAUUGCUUUCCAUGGAAUUACCGAGCCUAUACUAGAAGCUUAUGCAUGUAGAGAGGCUUUAGCUCUUGCUGAAGACUUGGUCGUUAACAAAUUGCGUAUAACAUCCGACUGUCUGAGAGUCACCAAUGACCUAAAAGAUCAGGUGCAUCGAGAGAGUUACUGUAUGAUCCUACAGGAGAUACAGGAGAGAAACGUGCUAGUAACGGAGAGGCACACAUGUUAGCUAGGAUGGCUACUACCUUAGAUAUUGGCCGUCAUGUGUGGCUCAAUGGUCCCCUGACCAUUUUUUGUAUUCCCCUAAACAUUAUGAUAUGAAAUAAAGUGCGUUGCUAUUCUCAAAAAAAAAGUUACACCUCAAAAAAAAAAAAC
rnacentral:lncRNA from 1 species